ensembl:lncRNA
CCAGGUGCCCCUCAAGUAUCUUUUUGAAUGAGCAGAACUGGAUAGUUCAGAGGUUACUCUAACUUUGAGCAUGCAUUCUCCUGUGACCUUGGCAAGGAGUGCUUUCCCUGGGUGAUUUCCAAAAUAUUAACAGGGCACAAAUUAUAGUGGACUCAACCACGCAUCAGCAAGACUUCCAGCUUUGAACACCAGGGUGCUGCACACAGCACGUGAGGCUUCAGAUCAGCCCUGCUGCCUCGGUGGUGGCCUCACUUGGCCGGGUGUACAGAAAACCUUGACUCAGUGUUUGUUCUACGAUCUGACUCAUUGUAACAUGUUGAUUGUCCCAAACAGGAACUAGAGACACAGUGUCCCAUCUCCAUCCCAGAGGUCAGGUGGGGCCAGCUCCCGCCUGACGCAUCCCAUGGGCUGAGCUUUUAGCUGUAAACUGCUGUGGAUGGUCUGGCUUCUCUCAGAGAUUGUGGGAUAGAAGGGGCCACCACAUUUUUUUCAGAGGUUUCAAAGGUUACUCAGUCUAUUUUAUAGACUCCCCCAAAGAUGGUUAUGAUGACACACAAAUUGUUCCUUCACAGUUUGAGCAAUCAUGAAAUACGUCCCAUAAUUCCUCACCAUUUCUGAGCUCUGGGCCAGUUCCAAAUAAUAAAAGCCAUCUUUCUCAGUGACUGCCUUUCUCUGCUAGUUGUGAGGGACAAAGGACAGGGCACCACACUGACUGCGUGAAAACGUAAGCCACGUCUACCAUGCUAUUGAUACUUUUCCUCUUCAAAAGCAGCGAUGUCCCGUGAAAGGUGACUCUCCAAAGUGGUUCUACCAGCCAUGUGGUCAGCUUUGGGGCUGGUGUUUCAACUAAGGAGAGGAAACGUAGGUAAACUCGAUUGGAAUAAUAACCGGAAAAAUUGCACCAAAAGAGGUGAGGACAGAUCCAGAACCUUCCUGAUCGAUUCAGCUGCCUGCUUUCAUUUUCCAGAUUAAACGAUGUUUUCCCAGAGUUAGCCUAGCAUAAUGCAAGGUAAGUAGACAUAGAACGCUAAGUUGAGGUAAGAGUUGUGGAUUCAUAUCCAAGCCCUGUUUUGCACCUGUAAGAAUUUGGGUCAGUCACUUAAUUUCUCUUACUCUUCAUUUUUUUAAUUUUUAUUAAAAAAAAUUUUUUUUAGUGUUUAUUUAUUUUUGAGAGAGAGAGAGAGAGAGAGCACGAGCAGGGGAGGGGCAGAGAGAGAGGGAGGCACAGAAUCAGAAGCAGGCUCCAGGCUCUGAGUUGUCAGCACAGAGCCCGACGUGGGGCUUCAACUCACGAGCCUUCGAGCUGUGAGAUCAUGACCUGAGCCCAAGUCGGCCGCUUAACUGACUGAGGCACCCCUCUUACUCUUCAUUUUAAAAAUAUAAAAUAAGAAUAUCUUUGGUUGUUGUAGAGGUAAAAUCGUGCAUGUGAAAGGACCUGGUACGGGUCUGACACGAAAGACAUUCGAGUUUUAUUUCAUUUUCCUUCCUAGAGAGCAAAAAGAAAAGUAAUUUUUAUUCAAAUGAAAUUAAUUACUUUGUUUGUUGGACACUACACAUGAGGGAAAAUGUGUUGGCAAAAACCCAAGAUGGCGCUUGAAUUCUGGAGGCACUUUCCAAAGAUACGACUUGUCUGUCACUAACUCUCUAUACUAUCUUGAGCAAAUAGCCAGUUCUUCCAAGGAUGCAUUGUUCUUACCCAUAAUGAGGAAAAAUAUGUUCUGAAUCAAAAGGUCUAGC